rnacentral:lncRNA from 1 species
CUAUUCAAAAAAAAACUAUUCAAAAAAAAACUAUUCAAAAAAGAGCUAAAUCGAACUAGCUCCAACUAGUUAAUAUAUUAUUAAAAAUGAAAAAAUGAGUAACGACAAUAUUAGCUUCUUCAAACAGUACUACGAUGAUAAUGAUUUUGAUACAGACAUAAAUGAUGAAUAUAAGCCACCAUUCAAAUUUUGUAAGAAAAUAAAAAUAAACAAUAAGGAAAAAAAAAAAGUAUUAAAUAAAAUUUGCUGUAGUAAAAAAUUUUUAUUUAUUAGUUCAUCAAGUAUUUUUAGUCAAGUGCGAAUUUUUAAAUAUAAUAAUCUAUUAAAUUUAAAAACAGAAAAUGAAACUGCCUUAUUUGUAAAAAAAGAAUACGAAAAAGAAACACAAAAUAAUAAUGACGACGAAGAAGAGCGAAACAUCGAGGAUAAGGAUAAGUCUUAUGUUAGUUUAUACGACAUUUACAACAAAGGUAACUAUUUUAUUAACCCGGUUGCACCUGAUACACAUCUACAAAGUAUUGAAAAUGUUAAAAAUGUGGUGAAUAAUGGUAGUGUUAAUACAAAUAUUUAUUUUCGCAUUAUUAGUAAUGAUAAUAAUAAAUAUAAUAGUGAUAUGGAAACAGCAAAUAGUUUCGAUGAAAACGUAAAUGAUGAAAAGGAACGCAUAAACAGUGGUAAAGAAACGAAUGAUGAAAAUAAUCAGCAAGAAAUGUGUACAUACGACCCAUACUAUAUUGAAAAUCAUAGUCUGAUUAAUAUAAAUUCAAAUGAUAUAUAUAAUAGCGAUUAUGACGAAGAUAUAUAUUUUAAAGAACAUAAUUUGUAUGCUAAUUAUUAUACCACUAUGUCAUCAUCAAAACAUAAAAGUAAAGCUCAUGACAUAUUAAGUGAGACAGAAGAAAAAAUAAAAUAUAUAAAAAAUGAAACAUAUAAAGGAGGAAAAGAUGGCGAAGUAAAUGAUAAAAAUAAACCUUAUAAAGAAAAUAAAACAAAUAAAAACGAAACGGAGAAACGUAAAGUACAUGAAGAAAAAAAGGAAGAAGAAAAUGAAGAGUUGCUAAAAAAGGGCUAUUACAUAAACGAAAAUGGUAUAGAAAUAAAUAUGGAUAUACUAAAAAAAAAAAUAAAUACCGAAUCAGUGAAUUGUAUUGAAUAUAUUGGAUCGUUUUUAAACAUUGAUUCACCAAUUAUGUUAAUGAAAAUAAGUAAUAAUGAAAAAGUUUUAUCUUUAUUAACAUAUACUUGUAGUAUAUAUAGUUAUGAUAUAAGUGAACGGUCUUUAAAUGAAUUAAAAAAAAAAAGAAUAAAAAAAAUAGACAUUUUUAAUAAUAUAGAAAAAUAUUCUCCUGUACAUGAAAUAAAUAAAUUAACACAUAAUGAUUUUUUAGAUGAUAAUGAUGUUGUAGAAGAAGCGACUAUAUCUCCAAUGUCUACAACAAUUUCCCAUUUUACAAAUUCAAUUACAUGUUUUGACUUUUUACCAGAUGAUAGAACGUUAGUAUGUGUCGGUUACAAUAUGGAUUACGUCCUUACCUUUGUUGAUACUUAUACUGGGAAAAGCGUCAUUUAUAAUAAAAAAAUAGCAACUAAACUGGAAAAUGGUGUAAGUAUUAAAAUGGAAAGUGGCACAAAUGCUGAUAAGGAAAGUAGCACAAAUGCUAAUAAGGAAAGUGGCACAAAUGCUAAUAAGGAAAGUGGCACAAAUGCUAAUAAGGAAAGUGGCACAAAUGCUAAUAAGGAAAGUGGCACAAAUGCUAAUAAGGAAAGUGGCACAAAUGCUGAUAAGGAAAGUACCACAAAUGUUAAUAAGGAAAGUGGCACAAAUGCUAAUAAGGAAAGUGGUACAAAUGCUAAUAAGGAAAGUGGCAUAAAUGCUAAUAAGGAAAGUGGCAUAAAUGCUAAUAAGGAAAGUGGCACAAAUGUUAAUAAGGAAAGUGGUACAAAUGUUAAUAAGGAAAGUGGUACAAAUGCUAAUAAAAAUAAUGACGUAAGUACCGACUUGCAAAAUGUACAAAUCGAGGGAGCUGAACUAAAACAAUAUUUAAUUUAUAACUUCAAUUAUAUUCAUGUUGAUAAAGAAAAACGAAUUUAUAAUGGAGAACUUGGUAAUUUCGUUUACUUAGGAUCUGCAAGUGGAUAUAUAGUGUUUAUUUUUAUGAGUAAUAAAUUUAUACAAUUUGUUAAUAAGUUAUUAACGAAUAAUAAUAUAAGAAGUGGUUCGCUAUUUAGUUAUAAACAUAGUAGUAAUUAUGAUACAUUGGAAGAUAUAUUAGAAGAUGUUCUAGGAAAUGUAGAUGAUGCUUAUAAAAUAAAUAACGACGAGUUAUAUAAAUUAUUUAAUGAAGGUGAUAGUAAUUAUAAAAAUACGUCAUUAUUAAAUAUGAAUAUAAAAGAAAAAAUAUUUAAAAACGAUAAACAUAUGGAACACAUUGAAUAUACCCUAUUUUCUUAUGUAUUUUGCAUUGCUAAAAAUGUCCCAAUAAAUUCGAUAAUAAAUAUAAACACAAAUAAAAAUAGAAAUAUUCAUUUGUUAGUAGGGUUAAAUGAUGGGAGAGUGUUUAAUUUAUGCUUUACCAUAAGUCCAUUUUGUUCACCUGUGUUAACGAAAACUAAUGCUGCUGGUGGUACUGAUAGUGGUACUGCUGGUGGUACUGAUAGUGGUACUGAUAGUGGUACUGAUAGUGGCACUACGGAUGAUACUACUAGUAAUUAUUUAGACAUAUAUCCAAACUCUUUCGAAACAAAUGAUAAUAAAAAUAACAAACUAAAAAUUAAUUCUAUGAGCACAAACGACUCGAUUAAUACUAAUAAUAUUCAUUACCAUAAUUUUAUUAUAAAAAUUGAAAAGUCCAUAUAUGAUUUAAGGGAUUUGCACGAAUCAAGAAAGAUAACUAAAAUGAGUAUGUACUACCAAAAUAAUUCUAACAAUCAUUUGAUUUUUAUAAAUUC